rnacentral:rRNA from 1 species
GAUGAACGCUGGCGGCGUGCUUAACACAUGCAAGUCGAACGGAAAGGCCCUGCUUUUGUGGGGUGCUCGAGUGGCGAACGGGUGAGUAACACGUGAGUAACCUGCCCUUGACUUUGGGAUAUCUCCAGGAAACUGGGGCUAAUACCGGAUAGGAGCUCCUGCUGCAUGGUGGUGGUUGGAAAGUUACGGCGGUGGGGGAUGGACUCGCGGCUUAUCAGCUUGUUGGUGUGGUAGUGGCUUACCAAGGCGUUGAAGGGUAGCCGGCCUGAGAGGGUGACCGGCCACAAUGGGACUGAGAGACGGCCCAGACGGCUACGGAAGGCAGAAGUGGGGAAUAUGGCACAAUAGGCGGAAGCCUGAUGUAGCAACGCCGCGUGCGGGAAGACGGCCUUCGAGUUGUAAACCGCUUUCGCCUGUGACGAAGAGUGAGUGACGGUAAUGGGUAAAGAAGCAACGGCUAACUACGUG